UGUCACCUGGCAAUGGACAAAGAGACACUUUGUUGGUGGUAUUGCUCUUUUAUCAGUCGGAAACAGAGAAGAUGCCAAUCCUUUGUUCAUCGUAGCCUGAUGUCUGGCUUGAUGGUCAAAGCUGAUUUAUGCCUAGGACACAUAA